rnacentral:rRNA from 1 species
CGUGUAGGCGGAUUUUCCAGUCAGAUGUGAAAACCGGUGGCUUAACUGCCGGCCUGCAUCUGAUACUGUUAAUCUUGAGUACGGAAGAGGGAAGUGGAAUUCCAGGUGUAGCGGUGACAUGCGUAGAUAUCUGGAAGAACACCGGUGGCGAAGGCGGCUUCCUGGUCCGAUACUGACGCUAAGGCGCGAAAGCUAGGGGAGCAAACA